AGGACGAACGCUGGCGGCGUGCCUAACACAUGCAAGUCGAACGAGGUCCAGUCGGUAGCAAUACCGACGAAGACCUAGUGGCGAACGGGUGAGUAGCACGUGAGCAACCUGCCCCGAAGACCGGGACAACACCGGGAAACCGGUGCUAAUACCGGAUGUCCCCACCGUGUCGCAUGGCGUGGUGAGGAAAUGGAUUCCGCUUCGGGAGGGGCUCGCGGCCUAUCAGCUUGUUGGUGAGGUAACGGCUCACCAAGGCUUCGACGGGUAGCUGGUCUGAGAGGACGAUCAGCCACACUGGGACUGAGACACGGCCCAGACUCCUACGGGAGGCAGCAGUGGGGAAUCUUGCACAAUGGGCGAAAGCCUGAUGCAGCAACGCCGCGUGAGGGACGAAGGCUUUCUGAGUUGUAAACCUCUUUCAGCAGGGACGAUGAUGACGGUACCUGCAGAAGAAGCCCCGGCCAACUACGUGCCAGCAGCCGCGGUAAUACGUAGGGGGCAAGCGUUGUCCGGAUUUAUUGGGCGUAAAGAGCUCGUAGGCGGCUUGGCAAGUCGGAUGUGAAACCUCCAGGCUCAACCUGGAGUCGCCAUUCGAUACUGCCAUGGCUAGAGUUUGGUAGGGGACCACGGAAUUCCUGGUGUAGCGGUGAAAUGCGCAGAUAUCAGGAGGAACACCAGUGGCGAAGGCGGUGGUCUGGGCCGGUACUGACGCUGGGGAGCGAAAGCGUGGGGAGCGAACAGGAUUAGAUACCCUGGUAGUCCACGCCGUAAACGUUGGGCACUAGUGUGGGACCUUAUCAACGGGUUCCGUGCCGCAGCUAACGCAUUAAGUGCCCCGCCUGGGGAGUACGGCCGCAAGG
rnacentral:rRNA from 1 species